rnacentral:rRNA from 1 species
GAUGAACGCUGGCGGCGUGCCUAAUACAUGCAAGUCGAGCGAACAGACGAGGAACUUGUUCCUCUGACGUUACCGACGGACGGGUGAGCAAACCGUGGAUAACCUACCUAUAAGACUGGGAUACCCUCGGGAAAACGGAGCUAAUACCGGAUAAUAUAUCGUACAGAAUGGUUAAAUAGUGUAAGACGAUUUUGAUAUUACUUAUAGAUUGAUCCGGGCUUCAUUCGCUAUAUGGUAAGGUAACGGUGUACCAAGACAACGAUGCGUAGCCGACCCGAGAGGGAGAUCGGCCACACUGGAAUGGAGACACGGUCCAGACUCCUACGGGAGGCAGCAGUAGGGAAUCUUCCGCGAUGGGCGAAAGCCUGACGGAGGAACGCCGCGGGAGUGAUGAAGGUCUUCGGGUCGUAAGACUCUGUUAGUAGGGAAGAACAAAUGUGUAUGUAACUAUGCACAUCUUGACGGUACCUAAUCAGAAAGGCACGGCUAACUACGUG